AAUUCUCAACUUCAGAACAUUAUUGUUUCUUGAAGCUUGGACUUUGGAGGCUUUGCCGGCCAGAAAUGUGGUCAGCUGCUCUUAGCAGAACCUUGUUGUAUAAAGGAACUGGCUUCAGUUUGAUAAAUGCUAUCUAUGCUGUUGCCAAAAAUGUGGUCAGCUCCUCUUAAAUGCAUUAGCAGAACCUUGUUGUAAAAAGGAACUGGCUUCAGUUUGAUAAAUCCUAUCUAUGCUGUUGCCAAUUAACCUUCUGUGUUCAGCUUCUAAUAGUCUUUUUAGACUGUCUCUAUUGAGGCAUACACCUUUAA
rnacentral:misc_RNA from 1 species